rnacentral:rRNA from 1 species
AUACGUAGGUGACAAGCGUUAUCCGGAUUUACUGGGCGUAAAGGGCGUGUAGGCGGUCUUGCAAGUCAGAAGUGAAAUUCCUGAGCUCAACUCGGGCGCUGCUUCUGAAACUGCAGGACUUGAGUGCUGGAGGGGAUAGCGGAAUUCCUAGUGGAGCGGUAAAAUGCGCAGAUAUUAGGAAGAACACCGGUGGCGAAGGCGGCUAUCUGGACAGUAACUGACGCUGAGGCGCGAAAGCGUGGGGAGCAAACAGGAUUAGAUACCCUGGUAGUCCACGUCGUAAACGAUGAAUACUAGGUGUAGGGGGUAUCGACUCCCUCUGUGCCGCAGUUAACACAAUAAGUAUUCCGCCUGGGGAGUACGGCCGCAAGGUUGAAACUCAAAUGAAUUGGCGGG